GACGAACGCUGGCGGCGUGCUUAACACAUGCAAGUCGAGCGGAAAGGCCACUUCGGUGGUACUCGAGCGGCGAACGGGAGAGUAACACGUGAGUAAUCUGCCCCUGGCUUUGGGAUAGCCACCGGAAACGGUGAUUAAUACCGGAUACGACCACUUCUCGCAUGGGAUGGUGGUGGAAAGUUUUUUCGGCCAGGGAUGUGCUCGCGGCCUAUCAGCUUGAUGGUGAGGUAAUGGCUCACCAUGGCUUCGACGGGUAGCCGGCCUGAGAGGGUGACCGGUCACACUGGGACUGAGACACGGCCCAGACUCCUACGGGAGGCAGCAGUGGGGAAUAUUGGACAAUGGGCGGAAGCCUGAUCCAGCAACGCCGCGUGAGGGAUGACGGCCUUCGGGUUGUAAACCUCUUUCAGCAGGGACGAAGCGCAAGUGACGGUACCUGCGGAAGAAGCACCGGCCAACUACGUGCCAGCAGCCGCGGUAA
rnacentral:rRNA from 1 species